GGUGAACGCUAGCGGCAGGCUUAACACAUGCAAGUCGGGGGGCAGCAUAAUGGAUAGCAAUAUCUAUGGUGGCGACCGGCGCACGGGUGCGUAACGCGUAUGCAACCUACCUUUAACAGGGGGAUAACACUGAGAAAUUGGUACUAAUACCCCAUAAUAUCAUAGAAGGCAUCUUUUAUGGUUGAAAAUUCCGAUGGUUAGAGAUGGGCAUGCGUUGUAUUAGCUAGUUGGUGGGGUAACGGCUCACCAAGGCGACGAUACAUAGGGGGACUGAGAGGUUAACCCCCCACACUGGUACUGAGACACGGACCAGACUCCUACGGGAGGCAGCAGUGAGGAAUAUUGGUCAAUGGACGCAAGUCUGAACCAGCCAUGCCGCGUGCAGGAUGACGGCGCUAUGAGUUGCAAACUGCUUUUGUACGAGGGUAAACGCAGAUACGUGUAUCUGUCUGAAAGUAUCGUACGAAUAAGGAUCGGCUAACUCCGUG
rnacentral:rRNA from 1 species